AUACGUAGGUGGUAAGCGUUGUCCGGAAUUAUUGGGCGUAAAGCGCAUGUAGGCGGUUUGGUAAGUCGGUCGUGAAAAUGCGGUGCUUAACGCCGUAUGGCGAUCGAAACUGCUGAACUUGAGUGCAGGAGAGGAAAGGGGAACUCCCAGUGUAGCGGUGAAAUGCGUAGAGAUUGGGAGGAACACCAGUGGCGAAGGCGACUUACUGGACUGUAACUGACGCUGAGGCGCGAAAGUGUGGGGAGCAAACAGGAUUAGAUACCCUGGUAGUCCACACUGUAAACGAUGAAUGCUAGGUGUAGGGGGUAUCGACCCCUUCUGUGCCGCAGUCAACACAAUAAGCAUUCCGCCUGGGGAGUACGGCCGCAAGGUUGAAACUCAAAUGAAUUGGCGGGG
rnacentral:rRNA from 1 species